GUGCCAGCAGCCGCGGUAAUACGUAGGAGGCGAGCGUUGUCCGGAGUUACUGGGCGUAAAGGGUGCGUAGGCGGCCGCGCGCGUGGCGGGUGAAAUCUCCCGGCUUACCCGGGAGGGGGCUUGCCAGACGGCGUGGCUUGAGGGACGGAGAGGGGCGUGGAAUUCCGGGUGGAGCGGUGAAAUGCGUAGAGAUCCGGAGGAACACCGACGGCGUAGGCAGCGCCCUGGCCGUGCAAUAACCCUGACGCUGAAGCACGAAAGCUGGGGGAGCGAACAGGAUUAGAUACCCUGGUAGUCC
rnacentral:rRNA from 1 species